CCCUUAGAUGUUCUGGGCUGCACGCGCGCUACACUGAUGCACUCAACGAGUUUACGACCUUGCCCGAUAGGGUUGGGUAAUCUUUUUAAAAUGCAUCGUGAUGGGGAUAGAUUAUUGCAAUUAUUAAUCUUCAACGAGGAAUUCCUAGUAAGCGCGAGUCAUCAGCCCGUGCUGAUUACGUCCCUGCCCUUUGUACACACCGCCCGUCGCUCCUACCGAUUGAGUGCUCAGGUGAAUAAUUCGGACUGCAGCAAUGUUUGGAUCCCGAACGUUGCAGCGGAAAGUUUAGUGAACCUUAUCACUUAGAGGAAGGAGAAGUCGUAACA
rnacentral:rRNA from 1 species